rnacentral:rRNA from 1 species
CCUACGGGAGGCAGCAGUGGGGAAUUUUGGACAAUGGGCGCAAGCCUGAUCCAGCCAUGCCGCGUGCGGGAAGAAGGCCUUCGGGUUGUAAACCGCUUUUGUCAGGGAAGAAACGCUUUGGGAUAAUACCCUGAGGUAAUGACGGUACCUGAAGAAUAAGCACCGGCUAACUACGUGCCAGCAGCCGCGGUAAUACGUAGGGUGCAAGCGUUAAUCGGAAUUACUGGGCGUAAAGCGUGCGCAGGCGGUUCUAUAAGACAGAUGUGAAAUCCCCGGGCUCAACCUGGGAACUGCAUUUGUGACUGUAGAGCUUGAGUGCGGCAGAGGGGGAUGGAAUUCCGCGUGUAGCAGUGAAAUGCGUAGAUAUGCGGAGGAACACCGAUGGCGAAGGCAAUCCCCUGGGCCUGCACUGACGCUCAUGCACGAAAGCGUGGGGAGCAAACAGGAUUAGAUACCCUGGUAGUCCACGCCCUAAACGAUGUCAACUGGUUGUUGGGAAGGUUCCUUNUCAGUAACGUAGCUAACGCGUGAAGUUGACCGCCUGGGGAUACGGCCGCAAGGUUGAAACUCAAAGGAAUUGACGG